AGUGAACGCUGGCGGUAGGCCUAACACAUGCAAGUCGAACGGCAGCACAGGAGAGCUUGCUCUCUGGGUGGCGAGUGGCGGACGGGUGAGGAAUACAUCGGAAUCUACUCUGUCGUGGGGGAUAACGUAGGGAAACUUACGCUAAUACCGCAUACGACCUACGGGUGAAAGCAGGGGAUCUUCGGACCUUGCGCGAUUGAAUGAGCCGAUGUCGGAUUAGCUAGUUGGCGGGGUAAAGGCCCACCAAGGCGACGAUCCGUAGCUGGUCUGAGAGGAUGAUCAGCCACACUGGAACUGAGACACGGUCAGGCUCCUACGGGAGGCAGCAGUGGGGAAUAUUGGACAAUGGGCGCAAGCCUGAUCCAGCCAUACCGCGUGGGUGAAGAAGGCCUUCGGGUUGUAAAGCCCUUUUGUUGGGAAAGAAAUCCAGCUGGCUAAUACCCGGUUGGGAUGACGGUACCCAAAGAAUAAGCACCGGCUAACUUCGUGCCAGCCGCCGCGGUAA
rnacentral:rRNA from 1 species